rnacentral:rRNA from 1 species
GACGUAGGGCGCGAGCGUUUGUCCGGAUUUAUUGGGCGUAAAGAGCUCGUAGGCGGUCUGUCGCGUCGGCUGUGAAAACCCGGAGCUCAACUCCGGGCCUGCAGUCGAUACGGGCAGACUGGAGUUCGGCAGGGGAGACUGGAAUUCCUGGUGUAGCGGUGAAAUGCGCAGAUAUCAGGAGGAACACCGGUGGCGAAGGCGGGUCUCUGGGCCGAUGACUGACGCUGAGGAGCGAAAGCGUGGGGAGCGAACAGG